ACCAUUGUUAGAAGAAUGGCAAUACAGAUCCUUCUUGAACAAAAUCGUUUUUGGCAUUCCACAAGCAUGUGAAGACGUAUUGGGUAAAAUGUA
rnacentral:ribozyme from 1 species